rfam:Triticum aestivum genome assembly, contig: Triticum_aestivum_CS42_TGACv1_scaffold_393154_5AS
UAGAUGCAGAUUAAGAGACAAGUUUGUGGGUAAUUUGCGUCAGGCAUUUCUAUAAUGUCAACGAUCUUUUCACCUUGGAGAUCUGAUGAAUUGU